GCCAGUGUCCACCAGGAAAGGAAGGUUGAGUAAGCUGAAGGCAGGGGCAAACCAGCUGUCUUGAGACCCCCCCGUGGAUGCAGGUGUGUGAUGGUGCGCAAGGGGAUUUCUUCCUUUCCUCCUGUGUUGCAAGAAUUCCUGCAUUCUGUGCCUCUAAUUGUAGGUUCCCCUAAAGACAUUUGGUGUCACUGUAAGGACGGUGUUUCACUCUCCCUCUCUGCCUGUACAGUUAUUCUCUCUCUCUCUGUGCAGUUCGCUCCAUAAGCCGUUGGUGAACAUACCAUGAGACAGAGAGAGAGCGAGACAGACAGAAACCACACACCAGCCCUUCCUCUUCACUUUCCCACCAUGGAAUAGCUAACCUUGCCCCCACUCACACCUCCAUCACCCCUCAGCAUCCUGCAAUUAUUUUGACCCUCUCUCUGGUCUUUUUGGAAGGAAGCUUUUGUCACUUCUUAACACCACCUGCCUGGAAAAACACACAGAGUCAGAACCCCCCAAGCCCUCCUGUGAAGGAAGAGGUUCUAUUUUUUAACCUCUUUUUGUUUGCUCUGACUCCAAAGCUUCAGACUCCAGCCUGAGCAGCCACAAUUUCUUACCAUGUAUUCUCCUUUUAAACCAUCUCCUUCCUGCACACGCUCAGUCCUUGCAGGCACGGAUCUAACACAACUCCCCGCUUCUCGCCGGCAGGUUCUUUGCUCCCCAUCACUCAGCUGAUCCUGAUCUUUUUUUCUCCUAUUUUCCCCACCCCGGGCACCGAGGUGUGUGUGUCUGCGUGUGAGUGUGCCUGUGUGCAAGGGGGGGAGGUUGGGGGGGCUUUUUUUUUUUUUUUCUUGGUGGGGGAAUUUUUCAAAGCAUCUUCAUUAUUUUAUUUUGCUUCUCUGACUUGGAGACUUCUCCCUCGGAGAUUUAUUUUCCAUGCAAAGGGGUUCUCGCUUGUGGCUGGCAUGGCAGAGUACAUCCCCCAGCCUCCCUCCACCUGGCCCGCAGGCCCACAGCCCCCUCACGCUUCUGCCGUCUUCCCACUGGAGCCUGUGGAUCUGGGGAUAUCGGAGCAACAAACGCCACCGGAGCAGCCACCGUCCUCCCUGGAGCUGGGUGAGGAUGAAGAAGUCACCUCCCCUCCAGAUCCUGAUGUCCCCUAUCCAGACUUGGCCCCAGUUGUCUUCUUCUGCUUGAAGCAGACCACCAGCCCACGGAGCUGGUGCAUCAAAAUGGUGUGCAACCCAUAUCCUUUCUGAGCUGCCCCUUCUCCCUCCCCACCUCUGGCUCCCUCCUGCCCCGUCCUCCCCUCAUCCUGCCCUCCUGGGGUGCCUUGCAG
rnacentral:lncRNA from 1 species